CUCGGAGCGUGGUUGUGGCUGCUCGUCCCGGGACUGCCGCACCAUGGCGGAGGAGGAGCUGGAGGCUCUGAGGAAACAGAGGCUGGCCGAACUGCAGGCGAAACAUGGGGAUCCUGGCGAUGCAGCACAACAGGAAGCAAAACACAGGGAAGCAGAAAUGAGAAACAGUAUCUUAGCCCAAGUCCUGGAUCAGUCAGCCCGGGCCCGUUUAAGUAACUUAGCACUUGUAAAGCCCGAAAAAACUAAAGCAGUAGAGAAUUACCUCAUACAGAUGGCAAGAUAUGGACAACUAAGUGGGAAGGUAUCACAACAAGGUUUAAUAGAAAUCCUUGAAAAAGUAAGCCAACAAACAGAAAAGAAAAACCACAGUUAAAUUCAACAGAAGAAAAGUCAUGGACUCUGAUGAAGAGGACAAUUAUUGAAAUUUAAGAUGUUUAGAGACUGGAACUUAAUGGAACAGUUCUAGGACAGAUAAUACUGGGUAGAAGUGAAGAUCUGAUUAUUUACUUUGUUUAUUGUCUAUAUGCCUUUUAAAAAAUAAACUUGUUAUGCAAAA